rnacentral:lncRNA from 13 species
UCACCUCCUUGGCAGAAGAAAAAAAAUAUGUGAGAAAACUAACCUGCUGUUCAGGUGCUACUGUUUAACCAACAGCAAUAGUCAGAGGUGCUGUUAACAUUGGGAGUAGUGCUUUCUCUCACUGAGGUAAGCAAUAAACUCGGCUUUGUCUUAUUGAUUUGUUGAUAU